rnacentral:rRNA from 1 species
AUGAGCCCACCAAAGACCCUCAGGGAAAUGCAAAAGCUCACCGGGCGUGUAACCGCUUUAGGACGUGUCAUCUCCAAGCUGGGAGAGCAGGCGCUGCCUUUCUUCAAGCUGAUGAAGAAGAAAGGCCCCUUUGAGUGGACUGAAGAGGCCGAUAGAGCAUUCCAAGACCUCAAGAGGUACCUUACCAGCCCCCUGGUGAUGGUGGCCCCUCGCCCUCGAGAGCCCCUGGUGCUCUACCUUGCAGCCACACCUUACUCCGCCAGCGCGGCCCUGGUAGCAGUCAGAAAGGAGUGUCAGGCCUCGGCCGCCGUCGCACUCCCGGCCGGAGUAGAACAGGGCCAGGAAGGCCUCGCAGAGACCAUGACCACAGCAGAGAAGGAUCAUCCCUGCCAUGAGAGCGCACCUGGAGCAGAGGAGGCCCCUUCAGGCGACCAUGGACCGAGGGCUGCACCGCCUCAGGAGGCGCCCCGACCUCCAGAAGACGCGGGCCGCUCCAGCACCCUCAAUCUCGUCGAGCACCCGGUAUACUUCAUUAGUACGGUGUUGCGGGAUGCAAGGGCGUGGUACCCAAUGCCUCAGAAACUCCUCCUCGCACUGUUGGUAGCCUCGCGCAAGCUGUGGCACUACUUUCAGGGCCAUCCUAUCAAGGUCGUCUCAGCUUACCCCCUGGAAAGGGUACUCAGGAGCCCCAAUUCAGCGAGGAGGGUUCCGAAUGGAACAUCGAACUACAAGCAUUCCAGCUAG